rnacentral:misc_RNA from 1 species
GAUGAAGAACGUAGCGAAAUGCGAUAAGUAGUGUGAAUUGCAGAAUUCCGUGAAUCAUCGAAUCUUUGAACGCACAUUGCGCCUUCUGGUAUUCCGGAAGGCAUGCCUGUUCGAGAGUCAUUAACAACCGUUUCGAUCCCUUUCUUUCAGAAAUUACAAAGAGGAAAAGGGUUUGGUUAUGGUGGAGGAGGGAAAGGGAGCGUUUAUCCUGUAAAAAAAGAGGCUGUGUUCCGCCUCCCCCCCAAAAUUGUACAGGCGGUCGUGUGCGCCCACGCAUCGAGGUGUUGUAAAAGCUGCCACGGCACUUUUCACCUGUGCAGUGCGAGAUUGGCCAGCCGGUUUAAAAACCCCUCCAAACAAUCAAAGGUUGACCUCGGAUCAGGUAGGGAUACCCGCUGAACUUAAGCAUAUCAAUAAGCGGAGGA